UAGCAAUAUUCUCUAGUCGGAGUGGCGCAAGGGUGCGUAACACGUGGGUAAUCUGCCGUGAAGCCUGGGAUAACUCGCUGAAAGGCGAGCUAAUACCGGAUGUGACUGUGAGGGAGCAUUUUCUCGCAUUCAAAGCUGGGGACCGCAAGGCCUGGCCCUUCACGAUGAGCCCGCGGCCUAUCAGCUAGUUGGUGAGGUAACGGCCCACCAAGGCUAAGACGGGUAGCUGGUCUUAGAGGACGACCAGCCACACUGGAACUGAGACACGGUCCAGACACCUACGGGUGGCAGCAGUCGAGAAUUUUUCACACUGGGCGAAAGCCUGAUGGAGCGACGCCGCGUGGGGGAUGAAGGGCUUCGGCUUGUAAACCCCUGUCAUUUGCGAACAAACCUGGCAUCCGAAUAGAAUGCCGGACUGAUUGUAGCAAAAGAGGAAGGGACGGCUAACUCUGUGCCAGCAGCCGCGGUAAUACAGAGGUCCCAAGCGUUGUUCGGAUUUACUGGGCGUAAAGGGUGUGUAGGCGGUCAAGAUAGUCUGACGUUAAAUAUCUGGGCUCAACCCAGAUACCGCGCCGGAUACUUCUUGGCUAGAGAAGCAUAGGGGGAACCGGAAUUCUCGGUGUAGCA
rnacentral:rRNA from 1 species